rnacentral:rRNA from 1 species
CCCUUAGACGUUCUGGGCCGCACGCGCGCUACACUGACGAAGGCAACGAGCUUUCCUUUACCGAAAGGUACGGGUAAUCUUUUGAAACUUCGUCGUGCUGGGGAUAGAUCCUUGCAAUUAUUGAUCUUAAACGAGGAAUUCCUAGUAAGCGCAAGUCAUCAACUUGCGUUGAUUACGUCCCUGCCCUUUGUACACACCGCCCGUCGCUACUACCGAUUGAAUGGUUUAGUGAGAUCCUUGGAUCGGCCCUGUCGCGGCUGGCAACGGCCGCGUCGGCGCGUCGAGAAGACGAUCAAACUUGAUCAUUUAGAGGAAGUAAAAGUCGUAACA